CUUCCAGACUCCUACGGGAGGCAGCAGUGGGGAAUAUUGCACAAUGGGGGGAACCCUGAUGCAGCGACGCCGCGUGGGUGAAGGAGCACCUCGGUGCGUAAAGCCCUAUCGGCAGGGAAGAAACAGACGGUACCUGACUAAGAAGCCCCGGCUAACUACGUGCCAGCAGCCGCGGUAAUACGUAGGGGGCAAGCGUUAUCCGGAUUUACUGGGUGUAAAGGGAGCGUAGACGGCAGUGCAAGUCCGGAGUGAAAGCCCGGGGCUCAACCCUGGGACUGCUCUGGAAACUGUAAAGCUGGAGUGCGGGAGGGGCAGGCGGAAUUCCUGGUGUAGCGGUGAAAUGCGUAGAUAUCAGGAGGAACACCGGCGGCGAAGGCGGCCUGCUGGACCGUAACUGACGUUGAGGCUCGAAAGCGUGGGGAGCAAACAGGAUUAGAUACCCCGGUA
rnacentral:rRNA from 1 species